rnacentral:lncRNA from 1 species
GAAGAAAGCGCCGCUGUGGGGUUCAGUAUUGUGAAUGUGUCGGGGAGGAUGUUUCUGUUGUCGGCAAAAGUUGUUGCACAUUCGAGAACAGUUCGAAUCUCGACAAAGCGGAAUGUCGCCGAGCAGAGCACUGGCUGCACAACCCCCGCAUCAGUCUCAGCAGAGGAUUAUGUGGACUCAGUUGUGUGAACUUUUGAGGAAUUUGAAGUGCAGAAAUGGACGUUUUCCAAGGCCCUUGGAUUUCACUGAGUAGAGAGAAGUGAUGGUUGUUGUGGUGUAUCACGUUGCCCAUCUUUAUACAAAUCAAAUCUUGCUCUCUGUUGUUGGUGCAAAUGCUCACCCAUUUCCCCAAAGAUAGUACCCACGUUGUCGAUGGAACUGCGAUGAUGCGCCAAGGAAUUUGAGUUCACUGAUCGUCUGCAGCGUGAGCAGAAAUGUUCUCUUGGUCCAGCGACGAAACCAUGGGGAGUUGGGGAAUUUGAUACUCACAUGUCUGCUUCGAGUCUUCGGCGAGAAGUGAAAUAUUUUUCAAAUAACUUCGAUGGGAAAGUGGAGCCGUAGCGCCAUUACUUUCUGACACGCCAAUGUGACAGCACCCAUCGCAAUCUGUCACAGCAAGCCAAAAGUUGUCGAGAGUGUCGUCGUAGUCGGG